UAUGGGCUAAUCAUCUCAAUAACGAGAAUGAAAUGCCUGGAAUGAUCAUGUUCUCAAGCCUCGUAGUGAUAACGGCUGAUCAGAGCGCUCAGUGCCCGCUCUUGAUUGGUGCAUCUGUUCCCUCUUGGCUGAGCCCAUCGGCUUCAUCACACAUCGCUUCACGAGUCCAGGCUGCUCCAUCGGAAACGACUCGCGGUUCGGUGAGGAGACGCAGUGUGUGGCGGGGAGUCGGUCCUUCUGCCGUCCCGGUGAGAACCCGUCGGACCACCGUCGGGGAGCGGAGGAAUGUCAGGAAUUCCGCGUUUCCUCUCAGAAAUGCGCUUUACAAGUUUCAGCCGAGACGCUUUUGCAGUUGUGGGGGCGGGAGGCGAAAUAAAGAGCAGUUUAUCGCCUG